rnacentral:rRNA from 1 species
UACGUAGGAGGCAAGCGUUGUCCGGAUUCACUGGGCUUAAAGGGCGCGUAGGCGGACGGUCAAGUCAGGGGUGAAAUCUUUCAGCUCAACUGGAAAAGUGCCUCUGAUACUGAUCGUCUCGAGGGAGGUAGGGGCAUGUGGAACUUCCGGUGGAGCGGUGAAAUGCGUAGAUAUCGGAAGGAACACCAAUUGCGAAGGCAGCUCGCUGGGACGUCACUGACGCUGAGACGCGAAAGCGUGGGGAGCAAACAGGG